GCUUGGUCUCGUCGGUACUGUGGAAGAUUGGUGACUUAACUUUUCUGGAAAGUAGUUAGGCCUUAGUGCUUUGCAGCCGCAAUAAUGGAGUGGUCUUCAACACUGCUGAAUUAAGAUUUUCGCCCACAGGUAUCCAACAACCCAAAGACACAGGCCUACAGGGAGUUGUGGGGUACGGCUGCCACCCUACACACACACACACACACACACACACACACACACACACUGCAGCUGCUUGAGGAAGAGAUGUCCCCCGAAACUGGACACAAGAAGUCUGGCCAUACACAAUGCUGACUGUGGUGCAUGGUGCUGGGGGGCUCCUGUUCCCUCUAGCCCUACUGCUGGUCACCGUUCUAGGCCUGUUGGUGUGUGCGUUCCCGCGGCGACGGCGCCAAGAGGGCAGCUACCAGCCCAGCCACGAGGAGAAGAAACAGGCUCACCGGCAACACAAGCAGCAGCAGCAGCAACAUCCGCACAGCGCUGAGAGACCCGGCCUUACACUGCCCCUGCCUAAGGAAGAGCGUCUCAUCUGAACCAGUCACAGAGCAGGGGUGGGUGAUUGGCGCCUGGAUUGACCAAUCACGAGCGACAUCAGUACAAUGCAGAGGGACCCUUGCUCAAGGAAGAGCGUCUCAUCCGUCUCAUCCGUCUCAUCAGUCUCAUCAGUCACAGAGUAGGGGUGGGUGAUUGGCAGCUGGGUUCAGCCAUCACACAGCACAACCAGCAGCAAUAGCACCAGUACAGCGGACAGAGACCCGGCAGCACACAGAGCUUCUGAGUGAAUCACUGGUCCAGAGCGGUUGACUGAGGUCCGGAUCAUUGAAACGGGAAAGUAUCUGCAGACCCGCCACCUAACACAAGCAGCAGCUGAGCACGACACCCCAACUCUCACUCUUUGCCCUUUCCUAAGGAAGAGCGCAAUCUCAACCUGAGCCCAAUCACAGGUCGGAAGAGGCUGACGGGCACCCACUCUAGCCAAUCAGCGAACAUGUUGAAGCUGGAGGGCAGCUACCAGCCCAGCAAUGAGGAAAAGAAGCAAGCUCACCGCCAGCACAAGCAACAGCAACAGCAGCAAGAGCCGCAGCAAACACAGCAGCAGAAUGCAGAGAGACCCGCCCUCACGCCGCAUCUGCACAAAGAGCGCCUAAUAUGACCCAAUCACAAGGACAGCGGUCGAUGAUUGACAGCUGGGUUAACGAGUCGCUGACCGUGAGAGAUGCUGGGAGGUUGGGUACAAGGGAAUCAGCGGAUUUAACGAAUCCAAGGAUUCAACUCAUUAUCCAACCUUGCGUUCUCUCCUUUUACUUGUGGCCUUGUGUUUCGCUUUACGCUCCACCUUUGUGGAGAAAACAAUAAAGUUUUCCCGUUAUCAGCCUAAGCACAACAACUUCUGAGGCACUUUUUCUACAUUCAACAUCCUGAUUGAAAAUGACAAAAUGACCUUUUGAAUUGUGCUUUUGCAAGAUAAAACGUCUAGGAAGUCAUUUGGCUUUCAGCCUUAGUCUGACUGUAUAGACCUAAUGAUUUUGUCUGUGCUUUUUUGCCGACUGUAUGAGGUAAUGUACUGUGUGGUCUGUACCUUACUGAUGCUGUAUACAGAUGGCUCUCUGUGCCUUUGAUGAAUUAUCAUGUCACUGGUAACUAAUUCAAGAAUGAUGGGGACAGGGGGAAAAGGACAGAGAUGAUGCGAUCGACCGCGAGUGUGUGUAAUGGUUGAAUGUCUGUGGCCUACGGAAUCGCACACUUGAGACUGAAAUAUGUAUUUUCCACAAUCGCAAUGUCACAGCAUUGAAGCCAUACCCGGGCUCUGGGAAGACGGCACACGUAAGACUGAAGUUUGUCGUUUCCACAAUCACAGGGCCACAAGCACUGAAGCCAAGCCUGGACUCUGGGAAGAGUGGCAUUCUUCACCAUAUGUCUUAGGGCGCAAGUCAAAUUGCAUCCUCAAGUCCUUCCCUGUGGCUUCUCACCUCUGAGCUGCCCCGUCUGUGUGAAGAAACCAACAACACAUCACUGCUGUCAACCAGUGAAGAGCAACUUUUAGGGGUUUUUCGAGCAUCCAACAUCCUGGUUGCAAAUGAGAGUUUGAGGAAUGAGAAACAAGUGAACAAAAGCUUUGACUGUCAAUGAUGUCGUUAAGCCGCGGAAAGACUUGAGGAAGUACUUUGACUUUCAGCCUUAGUCUAACUGACCUAAUGAUUUAGUCAAAGCCUUUGGCCAACUGUAUGGAGGUAAUGUACAGUAUGUGCCUACAGUCUGACUGUAUAGAGAUGGGGGUAUGUUCUCUGUGCCUUUGAUGAAUGAUCAUGCUUGUGGUAACUAAUUUAUUGAUGAUGGGGACAGGGGGAAAAAAACACAGAGAAAGUCAGAUGGACUCAAUGUGUGUGUAAUGUACUAAUGUCUGUGGACUAAGGAAUCACACACUUGAAAUAUGUCUUUUCCACAAUCACAGCACAGAAGUCAAGCCCAGGCUCUGUGAAAACGGCACACAUAAGACUGAAGUUUGUAGUUUCCACAAUUAAAAGGGGCACAGCACUGAAGCCAAUCCUGGACUCUGGGAAGAGUUUCAUUCUUCACCAUAUGUCUUAGGGCGCAAGUCAAACCGCAUCCUCAAGUCCUUUCCUGUGACCUCUGACCUCUCAGCUGUCCUGUGUGUGUGUGAAGAAACCAAAAACACAUUGCUGCUGUCACCCAGUGAAGAGCGACAUUUAGGGGGCUUUCCCCCAUUCAGCAUCCUGGUUGCAAAUGAGAAAUUGACGGUCAAAGCUUGUAUGCAUUUGUGUUAUUCAUUUCUCAAUUAUGGUAAGCCCCCAAAAGAUGGAAGGAAGUAAUUUAACUUGCAGCCUAUUAGUCUGACUGUAUGCUAAUGUAUGCUGUCUGUGCCAACUGUAACUGUACGGACACACCGCAGGGGUUGAAGGUGUGAAAAGUGGCGGAAGUAAUUGUGUCAAAAAGCGUCCAAAGCUGCUAAAGCGUUUCUAGCGCUGAGGGCAUCAAAAGUGUUAGAAGAGCAGUUGAACUUCAGCCAAAGAUAUGUAAUGAGCUUGGCGUCAGCAUACGGCAGCCAAUGGAAUGUUCGCAUUUUUCUGAACACGAGCUUCGGUUGGUCAGUCUGCCUGAUCAAAUGCUUCAGGUUGAAUCGAUUGCCGCGUUCAUCGCCCAUGAUCUGUGCUGUCCAGAUGGGACUCUGUAGCGUUUUACCUCUUACAACACUGGCUGUCUGUCUAGGCUAUAAUGUAUGUUCUCUGUGCAUUUUAUGAAUGACUGUCAAUGGUAACUAAUAUAUAGAUGAUGGGAGCAGGGUGGAAUGACAAUGAGGUUGUUUUUUGACCAUGCGUGUGUGCCUUGUUCUUGUGACAUGCAGUAUGAGUUCACAGCAUUUAUUUGCUUGCUCCCUCUGUCCCUAUAUCUCUCUGUUUGUGUCUCUCUGUCUCUCUCUCUUACACACACACAGACACACACACACACACAUACAUGCUGCAUAGAGGCUAUUAUGUAAAUGGUAACUUAUGAAUGUUAAAGAUAAACGUAAGGUCAUAUAAAAUGAGAGCUGUCUAAGUUUA